rnacentral:rRNA from 1 species
UACGUAGGGUGCAAGCGUUUGUCCGGAAUUAUUGGGCGUAAAGAGCUCGUAGGCGGUUUGUCGCGUCGAAUGUGAAAACCCGGGGCUCAACCCCGGGCCUGCAUUCGAUACGGGCAGACUAGAGUUCGGUAGGGGAGUCUGGAAUUCCUGGUGUAGCGGUGAAAUGCGCAGAUAUCAGGAGGAACACCAGCGGCGAAGGCGGCGCUCUGGGCCGGAACUGACGCUGAGGAGCGAAAGCGUGGGGAGCAAACAGG